CACCAGAUUGUCGUCCCUAGGGAACAGAAUGCAACCGGAGAUCUAGAGAGCUGUCACAUUCCAAGAAAUAUUUAAAUUGUGCUGAUUUUCUUCUGGAGAACUGAGCCCAGGGAAUGAAACUCUCCAUCAAGUCAUAGCUUUGCGGGCAAUAGAUCAGAGGAUAUUGCCAGUUUUCUAAUGGAUUAUUGUUAUCGGGCAGGUUUUCUCUGAAGCUGUAUUCUAUUCAGAAUCAAACCUGUUAGACCUGCCUUCUGCUGACUUCUCAGCUUCUGUUAUAUCCUUCUUGGAUGGACUCAUCCAGAAAGCACAACCCUGAUUUUGCAUGAGAAGGACUAUCGACAGAACCUAAAAC